rnacentral:rRNA from 1 species
GCUUACGGCCAUACCACCCUGAGCACGCCCAAUCUCGUCUGAUCUCGAAAGUCAAGCUCGGUCGGGCCUAGUUAGUACUUGGAUAGGAGACCGCCUGGGAAUACCAGUUGCUGUAAGCU